UUCUAAUACAAUUUCAAAAAACAAACACAUCAUUAAUAUUAGACAUACAGAUAUUUAAUAAAAUCUUAUAAAGCAUUCGAUAUUAUGUAGCAUGUAUAAAAUAAUCUAUAAAACAUAUUUGGAUCAAACUACAAUUCCCAUGAUGCAGCGGCGCUGCUCUGAGCGCGUGUGCGCGCCUGUGGAAUGAAGGGCGCACUUGUUGAGUUUGGGAACUUCCAGAGCUUGAACUUCUCACUUCGGACGCUGCGAAGCUCUCUCUCAUCAUCAGCAGCAGCAGCAGAUUCAGGCGACGUGGAAUAAUGCCGACUUUAAGUCUGGGACUAUGUUUUGGUUUGUUGGAGUGGAUGUGGAUUGUCUUUAGUGUUUAACGCGUUAGGUGCGCGCGAGUAAUAAAUAACAUUACUAUUAGGAUGUAGACGCGCCUUUAAUGCACUCGCGCCACUUUAAUCGAGUCCUGUCUGAAGGAGAGUUCGUGUUUGGUGGAGAAAUGUGGGGCUAUCGGGAUAUGGGACUAUUUAUGGAUCACUGGACUUCAAGCUCUCUCUAAAGGGACUCUCUCUCGCUGGAGCAGUGGAUAGAGAACAUCGCUGCUUUGCCGAGAUGCAUCAUCAGCCCAAAUCCGAUGGGACGCUACAGGAUGCUGUCAUCUGUUCAGAUGGAGUGACAUUUGUCUGGAAAAAAAUCACAUUCCUGCAUCAAAUAAACUCUCUGACAUAAACACAUACACCGGGUCUCACAGAAUGCUCUGGAUGGCAUUAUCGAGGAUCUGUACAGUAAAUAAAAGCUGUAUAGAUUUACAGAGCCUGGAUUUAUCACUCAAGCGCUCUUGAUCUCACUCAGCACAGGAGAGCAGAUGAUCCAGGACUAUAAAGUCCAUCCAACCGUGAACCCAAGGGAAAGAAUGCAGCAUCUUCUGAGCUGUCUGACAUUUACAGCCCUGAUCCCUACAUCGCUCCACCAACCUGUGCACUUUAUUUCUACCUUAAUUUCUACAAGGAUUUUGUUCUGUACUGGUCUGGAUCACUGUACUGGUUACUGAAUACUUAACAAAUAUGAAUUCCAAGUGAGUUGCAUAGAAAUUGCAUUUUCAUUCAUCCCGUCUAUGUUUACCAUCAAUUUUGGUGUUCUGUUUUAGUCUGAAAUGCAUGACUUUACUGAAAUAAAGUCGACAGCUACUUCUGGUUCAUUCA